rnacentral:rRNA from 1 species
UACGUAGGGUGCAAGCGUUAAUCGGAAUUACUGGGCGUAAAGCGUGCGCAGGCGGUUAUGCAAGACAGAUGUGAAAUCCCCGGGCUCAACCUGGGAACUGCAUUUGUGACUGCAUGGCUAGAGUACGGUAGAGGGGGAUGGAAUUCUGCGUGUAGCAGUGAAAUGCGUAGAUAUGCGGAGGAACACCGAUGGCGAAGGCAAUCCCCUGGACCUGUACUGACGCUCAUGCACGAAAGCGUGGGGAGCAAACAGG